rnacentral:sRNA from 2 species
AGAUUUCUUCGUUAGGUGAGGCUCCUAUACGAACAAAGGCCACUGCCCGGAAAUGUCGAGAGACACCAAUGGGUAGAACAGGUAUUACCGGAUUAAGGUUUUACAUAAUGUGGCUGAAUGAAUUUUCUCAUUCUACGUCGUGUAGUGCCAAAGCUCAGAACGAGUGAGGAAAGUG